CUCCUUCGUGAAGAACACCAAAUCUGACAACAGAAAAUAAUAAAAUACCUCACAGGAGAAAGACUCUACUUUUAACAUUUAUGACAGUUCUCUGAAACUUCAACCUUGAUCAUGAAGAGAGAUGCUCCAACAUACAAAUCAGGUAUCCU